rnacentral:lncRNA from 10 species
GAGGAAGUAGAGCCCGGGACCGCCAGGCCACCACCGGCCGCCUCAGCCAUGGACGCGUCCCUGGAGAAGAUAGCAGACCCCACGUUAGCUGAAAUGGGAAAAAACUUGAAGGAGGCAGUGAAGAUGCUGGAGGACAGUCAGAGAAGAACAGAAGAGGAAAAUGGAAAGAAGCUCAUAUCCGGAGAUAUUCCAGGCCCACUCCAGGGCAGUGGGCAAGAUAUGGUGAGCAUCCUCCAGUUAGUUCAGAAUCUCAUGCAUGGAGAUGAAGAUGAGGAGCCCCAGAGCCCCAGGUAAUGAACCUGGCAGCUUCUCUUUUCAAGUAAUCCAAAAUAUUGGAGAACAAGGUCAUAUGGCUUUGUUGGGACAUAGUCUGGGAGCUUAUAUUUCAACUCUGGACAAAGAGAAGCUGAGAAAACUUACAACUAGGAUACUUUCAGAUACCACCUUAUGGCUAUGCAGAAUUUUCAGAUAUGAAAAUGGGUGUGCUUAUUUCCACGAAGAGGAAAGAGAAGGACUUGCAAAGAUAUGUAGGCUUGCCAUUCAUUCUCGAUAUGAAGACUUCGUAGUGGAUGGCUUCAAUGUGUUAUAUAACAAGAAGCCUGUCAUAUAUCUUAGUGCUGCUGCUAGACCUGGCCUGGGCCAAUACCUUUGUAAUCAGCUCGGCUUGCCCUUCCCCUGCUUGUGCCGUGUACCCUGUAACACUGUGUUUGGAUCCCAGCA